UACAGUUUUAUUAGUAAGUUUACUCAAAAACAACCUAUUUAUUUAGACCUAGUAAUAUUUACUCAUACAUUCUAGUUAAGCUGGGUUCGUUAAGUCAGUUUAAUGUUUAAAUACAUUAUCUCUAUUUUGCAAUUUAAAUUUAAUAUCCAGUAGAUAUUUUAUUACAGAUAAAAACAGGUGAGCUUUUAAAAAAAUAUUACAUCUUAUUUCGUAUUCACGCUUUAAUAUACAAUUAAAAAUAAAUUUGAAAAAUAAAAA
rnacentral:lncRNA from 1 species